rnacentral:rRNA from 1 species
AGCGAACGCUGGCGGCAGGCCUAACACAUGCAAGUCGAACGAACCUUUCGGGGUUAGUGGCGGACGGGUGAGUAACACGUGGGAACGUGCCCUUAGGUUCGGAAUAACUCAGGGAAACUUGUGCUAAUACCGAAUGUGCCCUUCGGGGGAAAGAUUUAUCGCCUUUAGAGCGGCCCGCGUCUGAUUAGCUAGUUGGUUGAGGUAAUGGCUCACCAAGGCGACGAUCAGUAGCUGGUCUGAGAGGAUGAUCAGCCACAUUGGGACUGAGACACGGCCCAAACUCCUACGGGAGGCAGCAGUGGGGAAUCUUGCGCAAUGGGCGAAAGCCUGACGCAGCCAUGCCGCGUGAAUGAUGAAGGUCGUAGGAUUGUAAAAUUCUUUCACCGGGGACGAUAAUGACGGUACCCGGAGAAGAAGCCCCGGCUAACUUCGUG